AGCAGUCGCCACGGUAAUACGAAGGGGGCUAGCGUUGCUCGGAAUUACUGGGCGUAAAGGGCGCGUAGGCGGACAGUUUAGUCAGAGGUGAAAGCCCAGGGCUCAACCUUGGAACUGCCUUUGAUACUGGCUGUCUUGAGUUCGGGAGAGGUGUGUGGAACGCCGAGUGUAGAGGUGAAAUUCGUAGAUAUUCGGCAGAACACCAGUGGCGAAGGCGACACACUGGCCCGAUACUGACGCUGAGGCGCGAAAGCGUGGGGAGCAAACAGGAUUAGAUACCCCAGUAGUCCCUGUCUCUUAUAC
rnacentral:rRNA from 1 species